AAAAAGCAUUAAAAAAGCAUAAUUGCAUCAAUGUUUUUAACAAUAUCAAGAAAGGAACAAGGACAGAAGAAAACGUUUAGUCUGAGGUAAGAAACAUUUCUUUUUCAAUGACUUCUUCUCUAAAGAUACAGAAUUUGUUAGCUUACUUUUCAUUUCGUUAAAUUGAAAAUCUGAAAUAUAAAAGAGCUGUGCAUGACCUUUGCUUUCGGAUCUUAUAUAAUGCCUUUUGCAUGGAAAUCUUCAUUAUAGGAACCUUCAGGGUAAGAUAGUGACAACUCAUGUAAACAAACAAACAAACAACUCAAAUCCUGAUAUGUUUAAGGAAGCAUUGGGUCAUGAAAGAAUAGAGAUUUAAAGGGAAUUUUGAAAACCCAAAUGAGAUAUAGUUCAUCCAUAAUCUAGCCUAAAUUAUUUUACAGUGGUUUAUUCAUUAUCUAAAAAAGCUUGAGAGA